AGUCGAACGGUAACAGGUCUUCGGAUGCUGACGAGUGGCGAACGGGUGAGUAAUAUAUCGGAACAUACCCUAGAGUGGGGGAUAACGUAGCGAAAGUUACGCUAAUACCGCAUACGAUCUGAGGAUGAAAGUGGGGGCUCGCAAGACCUCAUGCUCAUGGAGUGGCCGAUAUCUGAUUAGCUAGUUGGUGAGGUAAAGGCUCACCAAGGCGACGAUCAGUAGCUGGUUUGAGAGAACGACCAGCCACACUGGAACUGAGACACGGUCCAGACUCCUACGGGAGGCAGCAGUGGGGAAUUUUGGACAAUGGGGGCAACCCUGAUCCAGCAAUGCCGCGUGAGUGAAGAAGGCCUUCGGGUUGUAAAGCUCUUUUGUCAGGGAAGAAAAGGUCGCCUCUAAUACAGGCGGCUCAUGACGGUACCUGAAGAAUAAGCACCGGCUAACUACGUGCCAGCAGCCGCGGUAAUACGUAGGGUGCAAGCGUUAAUCGGAAUUACUGGGCGUAAAGCGUGCGCAGGCGGUUAUGUAAGUCAGAUGUGAAAUCCCCGGGCUCAACCUGGGAACUGCAUUUGAGACUGCAUGGCUAGAGUGUGUCAGAGGGGGGUAGAAUUCCACGUGUAGCAGUGAAAUGCGUAGAUAUGUGGAGGAAUACCGAUGGGCGAAGGCAGCCCCCUGGGAUAACACUGACGCUCAUGCACGAAAGCGUGGGGAGCAAACAGGAUUAGAUACCCUGGUAGUCCACGCCCUAAACGAUGUCUACUAGUUGUUGGGUCUUAAUUGACUUAGUAACGCAGCUAACGCGUGAAGUAGACCGCCUGGGGAGUACGGUCGCAAGAUUAAAACUCAAAGGAAUUGACGGGGACCCGCACAAGCGGUGGAUGAUGUGGAUUAAUUCGAUGCAACGCGAAAAACCUUACCUACCCUUGACAUGUACAGAAUGCCGAAGAGAUUUGGCGGUGCUCGCAAGAGAACUGUAACACAGGUGCUGCAUGGCUGUCGUCAGCUCGUGUCGUGAGAUGUUGGGUUAAGUCCCGCAACGAGCGCAACCCUUGUCAUUAGUUGCUACAUUAAGUUGAGCACUCUAAUGAGACUGCCGGUGACAAACCGGAGGAAGGUGGGGAUGACGUCAAGUCCUCAUGGCCCUUAUGGGUAGGGCUUCACACGUCAUACAAUGGUACAUACAGAGGGCCGCCAACCCGCGAGGGGGAGCUAAUCCCAGAAAGUGUAUCGUAGUCCGGAUUGUAGUCUGCAACUCGACUACAUGAAGUUGGAAUCGCUAGUAAUCGCGGAUCAGCAUGUCGCGGUGAAUACGUUCCCGGGUCUUGUACACACCGCCCGUCACACCAUGGGAGCGGGUUUCACCAGAAGUAGGUAGCUUAACCGCAAGGAGGGCG
rnacentral:rRNA from 1 species